rnacentral:rRNA from 1 species
GUGGGGAAUCUUGCGCAAUGGGCGAAAGCCUGACGCAGCCAUGCCGCGUGAAUGAUGAAGGUCUUAGGAUUGUAAAAUUCUUUCACCGGGGACGAUAAUGACGGUACCCGGAGAAGAAGCUCCGGCUAACUUCGUGCCAGCAGCCGCGGUAAUACGAAGGGGGCUAGCGUUGCUCGGAAUUACUGGGCGUAAAGGGCGCGUAGGCGGAGAGCUUAGUCAGAGGUGAAAGCCCAGGGCUCAACCUUGGAAUUGCCUUGGAUACUGGCGGUCUUGAGUUUGGGAGAGGUGAGUGGAACGCCGAGUGUAGAGGUGAAAUGCGUAGAUAUUCGGAAGAACACCAGUGGCGAAGGCGACUCACUGGCCCAAUACUGACGCUGAGGCGCGAAAGCGUGGGGAGCAAACAGGAUUAGAAACCCGGGUAGUCC